rnacentral:piRNA from 1 species
UCAUCUUUCAUGAAGGUUCAGUGUCCUAGUUC